rnacentral:ncRNA from 12 species
AGUCGACGAGGACGGAACAGGCAGCCGUCACACCCCAGGGUUUCCCAGUGGUUUUAAAGAGAUGCGGGCAGGUCAUCCCGCCGUGGCU